rnacentral:rRNA from 1 species
AGAGUUUGAUCCUGGCUCAGGAUGAACGCUGGCGGUAUGCCUAACACAUGCAAGUCGAACGGAAUCUUCGGAUUUAGUGGCGGACGGGUGAGUAACGCGUGAGAAUCUGCCUUCAGGACGGGGACAACAGUUGGAAACGACUGCUAAUACCCGAUAUGCAGCGAUGUGAAAGAUUUAUCGCCUGGAGAUGAGCUCGCGUCAGAUUAGCUAGUUGGUAGUGUAAUGGACUACCAAGGCGACGAUCUGUAGCUGGUCUGAGAGGAUGAGCAGCCACACUGGGACUGAGACACGGCCCAGACUCCUACGGGAGGCAGCAGUGGGGAAUUUUCCGCAAUGGGCGCAAGCCUGACGGAGCAAUACCGCGUGAGGGAGGAAGGCUCUUGGGUCGUAAACCUCUUUUCUUAGGGAAGAUAAUGACGGUACCUAAGGAAUCAGCAUCGGCUAACUCCGUGCCAGCAGCCGCGGUAAUACGGAGGAUGCAAGCGUUAUCCGGAAUGAUUGGGCGUAAAGCGUCCGUAGGUGGUUUUGUAAGUCCGUGGUUAAAGCGUGGAGCUUAACUCCAUAAAGGCCAUGGAAACUACAUAACUUGAGUGAAGUAGGGGUAGAGGGAAUUCCCAGUGUAGCGGUGAAAUGCGUAGAGAUUGGGAAGAACACCGGUGGCGAAAGCGCUCUACUGGACUUAUACUGACACUGAGGGACGAAAGCUAGGGGAGCGAAAGGGAUUAGAUACCCCUGUAGUCCUAGCCGUAAACGAUGGAUACUAGGUGUUGCCCGUAUCGACCCGGGCAGUGCCGUAGCUA